rnacentral:misc_RNA from 1 species
GAGCUAGACUCUCCCU